UACGUAGGGGCCAAGCGUUGUCCGGAUUUAUUGGGCGUAAAGAGCUCGUAGGCGGUUCGGCAAGUCAGCUGUGAAAUCUCCACGCUCAACGUGGAGGGGUCAGCUGAUACUGCUGUGACUCGAGUCCGGUAGGGGAGUGUGGAAUUCCCGGUGUAGCGGUGAAAUGCGCAGAUAUCGGGAGGAACACCAAUGGCGAAGGCAGCUCGCUGGGACGGUACUGACGCUGAGGCGCGAAAGCGUGGGGAGCAAACAGGG
rnacentral:rRNA from 1 species